UACGGGGGGGGCAAGCGUUGUUCGGAAUUACUGGGCGUAAAGGGCGCGUAGGCGGCCCUCUAAGUCAGACGUGAAAUCCCCCGGCUUAACCUGGGAACUGCGUCUGAUACUGGAGGGCUUGAGUAUGGGAGAGGGAUGUAGAAUUCCAGGUGUAGCGGUGAAAUGCGUAGAUAUCUGGAGGAAUACCAGUGGCGAAGGCGGCGACCUGGUCAGAUACUGACGCUGAGGUGCGAAAGCGUGGGGAGCAAACAGG
rnacentral:rRNA from 1 species